GAGGAAUUUUGCGCAAUGGGGGAAACCCUGACGCAGCAACGCCGCGUGAGUGAUGAAGGCUUUCGGGUCGUAAAGCUCUGUCAAGUGGGAAGAACUCAUAUGGUGUUAAUACUGCCAUAUGUUGACGGUACCA
rnacentral:rRNA from 1 species